AGAGUUCUGCCCUGAGUUCCUGGUAAAGGCUCAGCAGUAUGGUUAACAUCCUAUCGUCUCUCAUUUGUUUUCCCUGGACAGAAAUGACCACACUGUGAACCCUACUUAUGCUUUUUUUUUUCUUCUGUAACCACAGAUCCCCAGACGAAAGCUCCCUGAGGGCAGAAGUUCAAGAUAUGAGCCUUCAGCUUUCUUCUCCUGCUAUCAUGCCUUUUGCUUAAUUAUCAUGGACACACAUCCUCUGGAACUGGAAGCCCUAAUAAACCCUCUCUUCUAUA